rnacentral:lncRNA from 1 species
UAGACGUGUGCGGGGGUUUGGUGGGGCGUGUGGCGCAGAGCAAUUGCUUGAUCAUUGACCGAAGUGCAGAACAUUGGCUAGUCCCUGCUUUUUUCGGUCCCAGCCUCUGUGUUCGCCUGUGAGCUGAAGGCACUAGUCCGUGAGGGCACUCGAACCGCAAGCCGAACUAAGGUCCGAGGCGCAUUGAAACGCCGCUGUGCCUAAAAGGUACCGGUUCCAUGGUUAGCGAAGAUAGGGGCAUUUGAUAAUAUCGAAGCGUUCAAGAUAGUUGAGUGACAUUGGGCUUAUAUAGCUCUUUCUGGAACGAGGGUGUUCUGCGCUGACGUCUAGGAUGGGUGCAUAGGCUCGCAAAACAAGGCUGAAGCAAGUCAUAUUUACAUAGAUUGAAUAUUUCACCAAGCAUGAAGAUCAUCACUGUAUUUAUUUCUAUAGCACUAUGCAUGGGCAGUACAAUAGCAUCAUCCAGCAGCAAGUUACAGAAAGGCUGGACUCAGCAUUUUGUUGUGAGUGAUGAUAAUCUUGAGUCAGAAGAACAAACAAAUGGACAUGAGAGUGUCAGGAGGGCGAGGAGUGCUCCACUGGAUUUUCUAGGACAAGGAAUCCCUACAGCUGAUAAGAACAUCACAACUGUGGUGGAACUCAAUGACACCCAUCAUUCCGGCCUAAUCCACUGGGCUGGUGAUGGCUCGGACCUGGUCAUCUGCCUAACUCGGGACAUGGUGAUCAUGCCAAACAAGCCCAGUGGCAUCCAUGUGUCAUUUGACUAUGGCCGCUCCUUUGUCAAUAUCUCUGGCAACUUCACACUGGAGGAUGGCUCACCAGCCAUCAUCAGCCGUUUCUUCGAGCACCCUAGUUUCAACGACAUUUACGUGUUUACGGACAAGAUCAACAAGCAGAUCUUCGUGACGGAGGAAUAUCGCCAAGGGCGUCAAGCGCCACGCUGUCGACUUCGUGCCCUCCAAGAUCAGCUUCGACCCGCACAGACGCACCGUGUUGCUGGCCUAUGACGAGAACAUCCAGUCGCUGUGGGCCAGCGACACGUUCGGCGUCUCGUGGCACGUGGUGGACCAGUACGUGUCGUCCUUCACGUGGGACGAGAGCGCGGACCCGUCCGUGCUGUACGUGCACCGGCGGCAGCCGGACAGCCCGGGCGUCGUGCGCGCCUCUAGCGGCCUAUUCACCAACUACACGGUGGUGGCCGAGGAUGUGGAGAAGUUCUCGAUCGAGGGUGACUUCAGGUUCGCCGUCAGGAAAGUGGUGAGUCGGUCACGGGGCAUGGCUGCUGAUGAGCAAUCCGUCACGGAGGCGUUGUGAUGCCCCGAAAAGCGGGGGCCAAAACUGGUUUUCAAGUCAGUUUCUCCCAUGCUUCGCCCUAGCGUUGGCGUUAAACUCACGCAGACUUAGUAAUGGGUUCGCCCCCUCCUCGGGCUCUUACGACCGUGUUCGUAGGGUUCGACCUCCUCUUUUUGUCAUGUUCACUUUUUCGAACGGUUUGCGAGGGGCACUUCGGGCCUCAAAGACACGCCAAAGCCCUUCUCAGCAUUCGGCGGGGGACGAGCUCUCCCCGCAGCCAUAUCACGA